rnacentral:ncRNA from 1 species
UACAAAACGUUGACGGAGAACCUGUAACACCUUUAAUGCACAGAGAGCCGAUGAACAGGUGCAAAUCGGACAUUAGGGUUUACAAGAGAGCACUCCAGAGUUGCUGUUCUGAAUGCCGCCUGAAUCUCGUGAUUCCAGACGUCUGUAGGUGCAGCCGGUUAGAAACCGUUACAUUUCUGAGUCCUUGCGGCUCAUGAGGCUGUUUGUGCAAUCAGACAGUGAAUUAGGGUGGUACCACGAAAGUAACUCUUCGUCCCUUGU